rnacentral:rRNA from 1 species
AGAGUUUGAUCCUGGCUCAGGGCUAACGCUGGCGGCGUGUCUUAGCCAUGCAAGUCGAGCGGUCCUAUGGGGCGACCUAUAGGAUAGCGGCGGACGGCGGAGUAACACGUAGCUAACCUACCCUCCGGACGGGGAUAACCAUUCGAAAGGGUGGCUAAUACCCGAUGGAGUCAUCCGCAAGGGUGAUGAAAGGUGGGCCUCUGUUUACAAGCUCAUGCCGGGGGAGGGGGCUGCGGCCUAUCAGGUAGUUGGUGGGGUAAAGGCCCACCAAGCCUAUGACGGGUAGCCGGCCUGAGAGGGUGACCGGCCCGAGGGACACUGAGACACGGGUCCCACUCCUACGGGAGGCAGCAGGCUAGAAAUUUGGGCAAUGGGGGAAACCCUGACCCAGUGACGCCGCGUGCAGGAAGGAGCCCUUCGGGGUGUAAACUGCUGUCGUGCGGGGCGAAGGGUUUAUAGGCGAAUAGUCUAUAGACUUGACGGUACCGCAGGAGGAAGCCCAGGCUAACCUCGUGCCAGCAGCCGCGGUAAUACGGGGUGGGCGAGCGUUGCCCGGAAUUACUGGGUUUAAAGGGGGUGUAGGCGGUCUGGAUAGUCAGGUGUGUAAUCCAAUCGCUCAACGAUUGGACUGCAUCUGAUACUUUCAGGCUAGAGGGCGGUAGAGGAGAGCGGAACUCCCGGUGUAGCGGUGAAAUGCGUAGAUAUCGGGAGGAACGCCGGUGGCGAAGGCGGCUCUCUGGGCCGUUCCUGACGCUGAGGCCCGAAAGCUGGGGGAGCGAAAGGGAUUAGAUACCCCUGUAGUCCCAGCCGUAAACGAUGGGCACUAGGUGUUCCUCCGAAAGGGGGAGUGCCGACGGGAAACCAUUAAGUGCCCCACCUGGGGAGUACGCCCGCAAGGGUGAAACUCAAAUGAAUUGACGG